CGGCGAACGGGUGAGUAACACGUAGGUGAUCUGCCCAUCAGACGGGGACAACGAUUGGAAACGAUCGCUAAUACCGGAUAGGACGAAAGUUUAAAGAUGCUCCUGGCAUCACUGAUGGAUGAGCCUGCGGCGCAUUAGCUAGUUGGUGGGGUAAAGGCCUACCAAGGCGACGAUGCGUAGCCGACCUGAGAGGGUGAACGGCCACACUGGGACUGAGACACGGCCCAGACUCCUACGGGAGGCAGCAG
rnacentral:rRNA from 1 species